AUACGUAGGUGGCAAGCGUUGUCCGGAAUUAUUGGGCGUAAAGCGCGCACAGGCGGUCCUUUAAGUCUGAUGUGAAAGCCCACGGCUCAACCGUGGAGGGUCAUUGGAAACUGGGGGACUUGAGUGCAGAAGAGGAAAGUGGAAUUCCAAGUGUAGCGGUGAAAUGCGUAGAGAUUUGGAGGAACACCAGUGGCGAAGGCGACUUUCUGGUCUGUAACUGACGCUGAGGCGCGAAAGCGUGGGGAGCAAACAGGAUUAGAUACCCUGGUAGUCCACGCCGUAAACGAUGAGUGCUAAGUGUUAGGGGGUUUCCGCCCCUUAGUGCUGCAGCUAACGCAUUAAGCACUCCGCCUGGGGAGUACGGUCGCAAGACUGAAACUCAAAUGAAUUGGCGGGG
rnacentral:rRNA from 1 species